UACGUAGGUGGCAAGCGUUGUCCGGAUUUAUUGGGCUUAAAGGGUGCGUAGGCGGUCAUUUAAGUCAGUGGUGAAAUACGGCAGCUCAACUGUCGAGGUGCCAUUGAUACUGGUUGACUUGAGUACUGAUGAGGUAGGCGGAAUGGACGGUGUAGCGGUGAAAUGCUUAGAGAUCGUCCAGAACACCGAUAGCGAAGGCAGCUUACUAAGGAGUAACUGACGCUGAGGCACGAAAGCGUGGGGAGCAAACAGG
rnacentral:rRNA from 1 species